GUCCUGUGUGGCUCAGACUGUAGAGCGUGGCACUCGCGAUUCCAACGGUUGCCGGUUAAAUUCCCGCUGGGGCCA